CGGAGGAACAUGUUGGUUAAUUCGAUGAUACGCGAGGAACCUUACCUGGGCUUAAAUGUAGAGUGCAUUUUUAGUAGAUAGAAAUUCCCUUCGGGGCUUUCUGCAAGGUGCUGCAUGGUUGUCGUCAGCUCGUGCCGUGAGGUGUCGGGUUAAGUCCCAUAACGAGCGCAACCCUUAUCGUUAGUUGCCAGCUGGUAAAGCAGGGGACUCUAGCGAAACUGCCACCGUAAGGUGAGAGGAAGGUGGGAUGACGUCAAAUCAGCACGGCCCUUAUGUCCAGGGCUACACACGUGUUACAAUGGCCGGCACAGAGGGCAGCUACCUGGUGACAGGAUGCUAAUCUCGAAAACCGGUCUCAGUUCGGAUCGAAGUCUGCAACUCGACUUCGUGAAGCUGGAUUCGCUAGUAAUCGCGCAUCAGCCAUGGCGCGGUGAAUACGUUCCCGGGUCUU
rnacentral:rRNA from 1 species